GGAUUGUGGCUCAGAGGUAGAGUGCUAGCCUAGCACGUGGGAGGCCCUGGGUUAGAUCCUCAGCACCA
rnacentral:tRNA from 1 species